rnacentral:rRNA from 1 species
GAUGAACGCUGGCGGCGCGCCUAACACAUGCAAGUCGAACGGCACCUAUCUUCGGAUAGAAGCGAGUGGCGAACGGCUGAGUAACACGUGGAGAACCUGCCCCCUCCCCCGGGAUAGCCGCCCGAAAGGACGGGUAAUACCGGAUACCCCGGGGUGCCGCAUGGCGCCCCGGCUAAAGCCCCGACGGGAGGGGAUGGCUCCGCGGCCCAUCAGGUAGACGGCGGGGUGACGGCCCACCGUGCCGACAACGGGUAGCCGGGUUGAGAGACCGACCGGCCAGAUUGGGACUGAGACACGGCCCAGACUCCUACGGGAGGCAGCAGUGGGGAAUCUUGCGCAAUGGGGGGAACCCUGACGCAGCGACGCCGCGUGCGGGACGGAGGCCUUCGGGUCGUAAACCGCUUUCAGCAGGGAAGAGUCAAGA